rnacentral:rRNA from 1 species
UACGUAGGGGGCAAGCGUUAUCCGGAUUUACUGGGUGUAAAGGGAGCGUAGACGGCGGUGCAAGCCAGAUGUGAAAGCCCGGGGCUCAACCCCGGGGCUGCAUUGGAAACUGGCAGGCUGGAGUGCCGGAGAGGCAGGCGGAAUUCCUAGUGUAGCGGUGAAAUGCGUAGAUAUUAGGAGGAACACCAGUGGCGAAGGCGGCCUGCUGGACGGUGACUGACGCUGAGGCUCGAAAGCGUGGGGAGCAAACAGG